CCUCCUUUCUUCCUCCUUGCGGCAUCUUGGUCAAUGGACGAGAGUCUGAACCAGCCAAGUAGCGUGAAGGAUGACUGCCCUAUGGGUUGUAAACUUCUUUUAUAUGGGAAUAAAAUGUUCCACGUGUGGGAUUUUGUAUGUACCAUAUGAAUAAGGAUCGGCUAACUCCGUGCCAGCAGCCGCGGUAAUACGGAGGAUCCGAGCGUUAUCCGGAUUUAUUGGGUUUAAAGGGAGCGUAGGUGGAUUGUUAAGUCAGUUGUGAAAGUUUGCGGCUCAACCGUAAAAUUGCAGUUGAAACUGGCAGUCUUGAGUACAGUAGAGGUGGGCGGAAUUCGUGGUGUAGCGGUGAAAUGCUUAGAUAUCACGAAGAACUCCGAUUGCGAAGGCAGUUCACUGGACUGCAACUGACACUGAGGCUCGAAAGUGUGGGUAUCAAACAGGAUUAGAUACCCGAGUAGUC
rnacentral:rRNA from 1 species